AGCGCCCAACAGAUACAUCGGUCACAGAGACAGACCACCGAUUCGUUGACAGAUACAUCAGUCCCAGAGACAGUCACUGAUUCUGUGACGACGGAUACAUCAGUCCCAGAGACAGACAUGAUUCUGUGACGACAGCUUUAUCAAUUCCAGACACAGACACCGAUUCUUAUACGUUGUCAGUCACUGAGACACACACUGAUUCUGGUAAG